UACGGGGGGGGCAAGCGUUGUUCGGAAUUACUGGGCGUAAAGGGCUCGUAGGUGGCCAACUAAGUCAGACGUGAAAUCCCUCAGCUUAACUGGGGAACUGCGUCUGAUACUGGAUGGCUUGAGUUUGGGAGAGGGAUGCGGAAUUCCAGGUGUAGCGGUGAAAUUCGUAGAUAUCGGGAGGAACACCUGUGGCGAAGGCGGCCAUCUGGACAACUACUGACACUGAGACGCGAAAGCGUGGGUAGCAAACAGG
rnacentral:rRNA from 1 species